CCUACGGGAGGCAGCAGUGGGGAAUAUUGCACAAUGGGGGAAACCCUGAUGCAGCGCAGCCGCGUGAGUGAAGACGUAUUUCGGUAUGUAAAGCUCUAUCAGCAGGGAAGAAAUAGCGACCUUUGGGUCGCCAGACGGUACUUGACUAAGAAGCCCCGGCUACCUACGUCCCAGCAGCCGCGGUAAUCGGUAGGGGGGAAGCGUUAUCCGGAUGUAAUGGGUGUAAAGGGAGAGUAGCCGGCAGAACACGUCUGAAGUGAAAUGGCGGGGCUUAACCCCCGAACUGCUUUGGAAACUGUGCAGCGAGAGUGCAGGAGAGGUAAGUGGAAUUCCUAGUGUAGCGGUGAAAUGCGUAGAUAUUAGGAGGAACACCAGUGGCGAAGGCGGCUUACUGGACUGUAACUGACGUUGAGGCUCGAAAGCGUGGGGAGCAAACAGGAUUAGAUACCCUGGUAGUC
rnacentral:rRNA from 1 species